rnacentral:rRNA from 1 species
CGAACGGGUGAGUAACACAUCGGAACGUGCCUAGUAGUGGGGGAUAACUACUCGAAAGAGUAGCUAAUACCGCAUGAGAUCUAAGGAUGAAAGCAGGGGACCUUCGGGCCUUGCGCUACUAGAGCGGCUGAUGGCAGAUUAGGUAGUUGGUGGGAUAAAAGCUUACCAAGCCGACGAUCUGUAGCUGGUCUGAGAGGACGACCAGCCACACUGGAACUGAGACACGGUCCAGACUCCUACGGGAGGCAGCAGUGGGGAAUUUUGGACAAUGGGCGAAAGCCUGAUCCAGCAAUGCCGCGUGUAGGAUGAAGGCCCUCGGGUUGUAAACUACUUUUGUACGGAACGAAAAGACUCUUUCUAAUAAAGAGGGUCCAUGACGGUACCGUAAGAAUAAGCACCGGCUAACUACGUGCCAGCAGCCGCGGUAAUACGUAGGGUGCAAGCGUUAAUCGGAAUUACUGGGCGUAAAGCGUGCGCAGGCGGUUAUGUAAGACAGAGGUGAAAUCCCCGGGCUCAACCUGGGAACGGCCUUUGUGACUGCAUAGCUAGAGUACGGUAGAGGGGGAUGGAAUUCCGCGUGUAGCAGUGAAAUGCGUAGAUAUGCGGAGGAACACCGAUGGCGAAGGCAAUCCCCUGGACCUGUACUGACGCUCAUGCACGAAAGCGUGGGGAGCAAACAGGAUUAGAUACCCUGGUAGUCCACGCCCUAAACGAUGUCAACUGGUUGUU